rnacentral:lncRNA from 1 species
GUUUCACAGUUGAGGAGGAGAAGCUGGGACUAGCAGGCUUCACGAGAAACACAAAGGUAUAGCCUUGCUCACUGCAUAUCCACUGACCUGACCCAUAGUACAACUCCAGUAGGAACUGUUGGACAGAUGACUGAAUGAGGAGACUGAACUGUAGCCAGCUCUAGAGAUUAAAAAAAGUCAUGGAGAUUCAGAAAGACAGGAAGUUACUGCAUAUAAAGGUUAACACCCACCCUCACCUUCUACAAACAGCCUCAGCUAAAGAUACCUGGGAGGAGCUUGUAGAAGAUGCCACUCUCUGCAAUCCAGAGGAAAAUGUCUUUCCCUUUGAGCGGAUCAUUUCUACCAAGGUCAAACUCAUAUUUUACAUUGAGUUUGUAUGAAAAAAAAAUCAGAUGUUUAAUUUUUCAUGUAAUCAAAGAACAAUAACAAAAGCAAACCUUCACUUGAGGACUGACUCUGGACUGGUUCUGGAAGCUGUACAAGGGACAUCCCCAGCCACGUGGUAACUGGCAUGAGCCCACAAUUAAUAUGCAUUAAAUCAGUCACUCCUCAAGUCAAA